rnacentral:rRNA from 1 species
UGUGAGCUCGAUGAGUAGGGCGGGACACGUGGUAUCCUGUCUGAAUAUGGGGGGACCAUCCUCCAAGGCUAAAUACUCCUGACUGACCGAUAGUGAACCAGUACCGUGAGGGAAAGGCGAAAAGAACCCCGGCGAGGGGAGUGAAAAAGAACCUGAAACCGUGUACGUACAAGCAGUGGGAGCACGCUUAGGCGUGUGACUGCGUACCUUUUGUAUAAUGGGUCAGCGACUUAUAUUCUGUAGCAAGGUUAACCGAAUAGGGGAGCCGAAGGGAAACCGAGUCUUAACUGGGCGUUAAGUUGCAGGGUAUAGACCCGAAACCCGGUGAUCUAGCCAUGGGCAGGUUGAAGGUUGGGUAACACUAACUGGAGGACCGAACCGACUAAUGUUGAAAAAUUAGCGGAUGACUUGUGGCUGGGGGUGAAAGGCCAAUCAAACCGGGAGAUAGCUGGUUCUCCCCGAAAGCUAUUUAGGUAGCGCCUCGUGAAUUCAUCUCCGGGGGUAGAGCACUGUUUCGGCAAGGGGGUCAUCCCGACUUACCAACCCGAUGCAAACUGCGAAUACCGGAGAAUGUUAUCACGGGAGACACACGGCGGGUGCUAACGUCCGUCGUGAAGAGGGAAACAACCCAGACCGCCAGCUAAGGUCCCAAAGUCAUGGUUAAGUGGGAAACGAUGUGGGAAGGCCCAGACAGCCAGGAUGUUGGCUUAGAAGCAGCCAUCAUUUAAAGAAAGCGUAAUAGCUCACUGGUCGAGUCGGCCUGCGCGGAAGAUGUAACGGGGCUAAACCAUGCACCGAAGCUGCGGCAGCGACGCUUAUGCGUUGUUGGGUAGGGGAGCGUUCUGUAAGCCUGCGAAGGUGUGCUGUGAGGCAUGCUGGAGGUAUCAGAAGUGCGAAUGCUGACAUAAGUAACGAUAAAGCGGGUGAAAAGCCCGCUCGCCGGAAGACCAAGGGUUCCUGUCCAACGUUAAUCGGGGCAGGGUGAGUCGACCCCUAAGGCGAGGCCGAAAGGCGUAGUCGAUGGGAAACAGGUUAAUAUUCCUGUACUUGGUGUUACUGCGAAGGGGGGACGGAGAAGGCUAUGUUGGCCGGGCGACGGUUGUCCCGGUUUAAGCGUGUAGGCUGGUUUUCCAGGCAAAUCCGGAAAAUCAAGGCUGAGGCGUGAUGACGAGGCACUACGGUGCUGAAGCAACAAAUGCCCUGCUUCCAGGAAAAGCCUCUAAGCAUCAGGUAACAUCAAAUCGUACCCCAAACCGACACAGGUGGUCAGGUAGAGAAUACCAAGGCGCUUGAGAGAACUCGGGUGAAGGAACUAGGCAAAAUGGUGCCGUAACUUCGGGAGAAGGCACGCUGAUAUGUAGGUGAAGUCCCUCGCGGAUGGAGCUGAAAUCAGUCGAAGAUACCAGCUGGCUGCAACUGUUUAUUAAAAACACAGCACUGUGCAAACACGAAAGUGGACGUAUACGGUGUGACGCCUGCCCGGUGCCGGAAGGUUAAUUGAUGGGGUUAGCGCAAGCGAAGCUCUUGAUCGAAGCCCCGGUAAACGGCGGCCGUAACUAUAACGGUCCUAAGGUAGCGAAAUUCCUUGUCGGGUAAGUUCCGACCUGCACGAAUGGCGUAAUGAUGGCCAGGCUGUCUCCACCCGAGACUCAGUGAAAUUGAACUCGCUGUGAAGAUGCAGUGUACCCGCGGCAAGACGGAAAGACCCCGUGAACCUUUACUAUAGCUUGACACUGAACAUUGAGCCUUGAUGUGUAGGAUAGGUGGGAGGCUUUGAAGUGUGGACGCCAGUCUGCAUGGAGCCGGCCUUGAAAUACCACCCUUUAAUGUUUGAUGUUCUAACGUUGACCCGUAAUCCGGGUUGCGGACAGUGUCUGGUGGGUAGUUUGACUGGGGCGGUCUCCUCCUAAAGAGUAACGGAGGAGCACGAA